UCCAUUCAUAUGUUAUUAGAUUUUUAGCUUCAGACUCAAGGUGUAUUUUUGAAGUUAUCUCUAAAUGUAAAGAGAAUAUUCAUUCCAGUUUGAGAUACUGUGUUACACUGUUACACUGUGUCAUAUGUGUUACACUUUUCUGUUUUACAGAUGUUUUUUGGAAAGGAGGAGAAAAUAUUCAACAUCUGCAAUUAUAUGCUUCAGAUUUUCUGUUUUCUUCUUACAGUUGCUUUGUAUGAGUGUAAUCAGCUUUCUUUUUAAUUCCUAUUAAUUCAUGAGUGGGGUUACUAGUUCAAGAGUGCCCUCUUCUGUUUAAUAAAAUAUAGAUCCUUUCAUGUAUAAUGAGAGGGAGUAGGUGAAGCUAUUACCAUUUUUUCACUUUCCUUUCUACAGAGUCUUAAUUUCUUGCCUCUUAUUUACUUCUUUGCCUUCAUUGUAACAUAUCCAAAGGGUACCAUUUCUUAUCCGUGUAUCCAAUUUCCCCUAGAAGUGAUGCUUCCUCAAGGAUUCUAUUUCUGGUCCCGUUCACAUUCAAGGCCCUUUGCUGUACAGAGAGCGGUGAACUACCAAAUUCUAGCUCUCUGCGUACUCUGGAUUCAGGGAGGAAACGACAUCAAUCACUUCAUAUGUGAAGACACAAUGGUAUAAUCCGUAUAAUUGGAGUUAAACUGAAAGAAGUUUGAAUGCCAACAGUCACAUUUACUGGCUACAUGACUAUGGACAAUAGGAAAGAACGCACCGACUUCCUAAUGUUGUAAAAUGACACAAACAAAGGACAAUGCCUGACAGCAAGCAGAUGCCUGUAAAAAUAAUGAAAUACUACAGAAAAGGCCAUAGUGCAUUGAUUACUCUUCACAGCAGAGUCUCAGAGCCUUUUGCUUCAGGAAGAGGUAGAAGAAAAGGACAACAACGCACCCACUUCUCAAGCUUUCUGCCCAGAAUUUGACAAGGACUGGAAGCAAGUUCCAACUUUCACAGCAAUUUAUCUUUCUUCAUCACCUGUUUCUAGGUGAUAAACACCAUUUUCAAAUUAGUGUGGCUUUUGUUCAGUUAAUUACAUGCAUCAGGAACUAUUUCAACAGGAAUGUAAUUUUUCACCACACACACAAAUUAAAGUAGAAACCUUCCUGGAACCUUUAACUCCUGUGCAUUAAAUUUUAUAAACAUUUUCCCACAGAAGUGAAAAUCUUAAAUGGAACAUUUCCUAGGAAAAAUAAUGAAAACUGUGAAGAAACAGCAAACAUCGUCAUCCCCAAAAAAGCCUAGAAACAGGAAAAAGACUAUCGCUCUGUUACACAUCAGAGAGAAUCACCUAGAAAUAGAAAUCCUUAGAAAUGUCAUACUUCUUACCCUCAUGUAACUUAGAGCCUAAAUUAUGACUUUUUAAAAUUAAAUUCAGGUUCAAACUAUAAAGCUAUAUUUUAAUUGUAAUAUAAACUU